CCAUUUCGAGCGUCAUUAUCACCCCUCAAGCCUAGCUUGGUGUUGAGACCUGCUGUCAAGGCAGUCUCUAAAAUCAGUGGCAGUGCUGUCAGGCUCUAAGCGUAGUAAAUUCAUCGCUAUAGACACCUGGUGGCCACUCGCCAGAACCCCCCCAUUUUUUAAUGAUUGACCUCGGAUUAGGUAGGGAUACCCGCUGAACUUAAGCAUAUCAAUAAGCGGAGGAAAAGAAACCAACAGGGAUUGCCUCAGUAACGGCGAGUGAAGCGGCAAAAGCUCAAAUUUGAAAUCUGGCUCUUUUAGGGUCCGAGUUGUAAUUUGUAGAAGAUGUUUCGGGUGUGGCUCCGGUUUAAGUUCUUUGGAAUAUUACAUCAUAGAGGGUGAGAAUCCCGUAUGUGACCGGCAGCCUUCGCCUAUGUGAAACUCUUUCGACGAGUCGAGUUGUUUGGGAAUGCAGCUCAAAAUGGGAGGUAUAUUUCUUCUAAAGCUAAAUAUUGGCCAGAGACCGAUAGCGCACAAGUAGAGUGAUCGAAAGAUGAAAAGCACUUUGGAAAGAGAGUUAAACAGUACGUGAAAUUGUUGAAAGGGAAGCGCUUGCAACCAGACUUACACGCAGUUGAUCAUCCGGUGUUCUCACCGGGGCACUCUGCUGCGUUCAGGCCAGCAUCGGUUUUGGUGGUUGGAUAAAGGCCUUGGGAAUGUGGCUUCCUUCGGGGAGUGUUAUAGCCCUCGGUGCAAUGCAGCCUCC
rnacentral:rRNA from 1 species